UACCAGCACCCCGAGUGGUCGGGACGAUUAUUGGGCCUAAAGCAUCCGUAGCCGGUUCUACAAGUCUCCCGUUAAAUCCACCUGCUUAACAGAUGGGCUGCGGAGGAUACUAUAGAGCUAGGAGGCGGGAGAGGCAAGCGGUACUUAGUGGGUAGGGGUAAAAUCCGUUGAUCCAUUGAAGACCACCAGUGGCGAAGGCGGCUUGCCAGAACGCACUCGACGGUGAGGGAUGAAAGCUGGGGGAGCAAACCGG
rnacentral:rRNA from 1 species